rnacentral:rRNA from 1 species
UUGCCAGACUCCUACGGGAGGCAGCAGUGGGGAAUAUUGCGCAAUGGGCGAAAGCCUGACGCAGCGACGCCGCGUGAGGGAUGAAGGUCUUCGGAUCGUAAACCUCUGUCAGCAGGGAAGAACGGUCACUGUGCUAAUCAGCAGUGAAUUGACGGUACCUGCAAAGGAAGCACCGGCUAACUACGUGCCAGCAGCCGCGGUAAUACGUAGGGUGCGAGCGUUAAUCGGAAUUACUGGGCGUAAAGGGUGUGCAGGCGGCUGAGUAAGACAGAUGUGAAAUCCCCGGGCUUAACCUGGGAACCGCAUAUGUGACUGCUUGGCUAGAGUGCGUCAGAGGGAGGUGGAAUUCCACGUGUAGCAGUGAAAUGCGUAGAUAUGUGGAAGAACACCGAUGGCGAAGGCAGCCUCCUGGGACGCAACUGACGCUCAUACACGAAAGCGUGGGGAGCAAACAGGAUUAGAUACCCUAGUA